rnacentral:rRNA from 1 species
GACGAACGCUGGCGGCGUGCUUAACACAUGCAAGUCGAACGGAAAGGCCCUGCUUUUGUGGGGUGCUCGAGUGGCGAACGGGUGAGUAACACGUGAGUAACCUGCCCUUGACUUUGGGAUAACUUCAGGAAACUGGGGUUAAUACCGGACAGGAGCCCCUGCUGCAGGGUGGGGGUUGGAAAGUUUCGGCGGUUGGGGAUGGACUCGCGGCUUAUCAGCUUGUUGGUGGGGUAGUGGCUUACCAAGGCUUGGACGGGUAGCCGGCCUGGGAGGGUGACCGGCCACAUUGGGACUGAGAUACGGCCCAGACUCCUACGGGAGGCAGCAGUGGGGAAUAUUGCACAAUGGGCGGAAGCCUGAUGCAGCAACGCCGCGUGCGGGAUGACGGCCUUCGGGUUGUAAACCGCUUUCGCCUGUGACGAAGCGUGAGUGACGGUAAUGGGUAAAGAAGCACCGGCUAACUACGUG